AUUUUCUGUUGUUAGAAUGUUAUUGUUUUAUAUUGUGCGCAACGCUGAUCGCGACGGCCAUGAUGCGUACAUUAUCCUACGUACGAUGCGUGAGUGCGUAUACACGUGUGUGGAUCGAGCAGUGCUCUUUAUUUACAGUAUCUUUAUAUAUAACUGUUUGAGCGCGUCGAGAUCAUGAGCAGACGCACGCUUGUCGCGACAGCCAAUCGGAAGCAGUAAUAGUUCUGGAGACUGUAGUCGCAUUAUCUUACAUAUACGUAUGAUGCGUGAGUGUGUCACAUAUACGUACGCUUGUGCUUGUGCUGUCGAGCAUUUUUAAUUGUAUACAACAUUUUUAUAUGGGUAGCUGGUGAUUCAAGAUCUAUUGUUCGACCUAUAUAAGAGAGAUAUUUGCAGAAAAAAAGAAAUAUACCAAAGUAUUAAGGAUCAAACAUAUUCUUGAUGUACUCGGGCCGCGAGGCUGAGCAAUAUUCUAAGGAAAGUAUUGUACAAUAUACAAAGAUUGGACAAUAUGUCCCCUUAUCUUCCAUUGACAAUUUGAAGAUAUGCUAAAAACUGAUCAAGAAGCUUUCAUGCAAGUUAAGCUUUUAGAGCAAUAUUCCCUCGGAAUACAGAAAAAGAUUUUGAACACUUAAUGGAGUGGUUCAGAUUUGCAAACGUCCGUAAAGAAAUAAAAAAACAUUAAAAAGAUAAUGAAGUGAUAAAUAUAUUAUCUUACUUGCGUUGCUCCGCGCGAGUGAUUAUUUUACUAAUUAUAGUAACAAAAAGGUCUUAGGUUUGAUCUCGACUCAGUCUGCAUCCCGCAUAUACAGUCCUUGUUUAACUUGUUUUUCUGUAAGGGGUUGAUUAAGAGGAAGUAAAUGGUUUAAGGAUUAAAAGACCUGUAUGUGGUUUAAUAAUCCGUUUUAGGAAGUUUCUAGAAUAAAAAAAAAUACAUAGGUCUAAACAUAGGUCUAAACGAUAGUAAAAAGAAAGUUUUUAUACAUUAGAAAUAGUGAUUUGUGCUAUAUGAUUUAAAAGGAUAAGGUCGAAGGCACUAACACCCUCAUUCGAGCUAGGGGACACAUUUCAAAUAAAAAAGAAAGAUUUUGAUAAAAUUAUUUGGUUUGACAUUUUUUCUCAGUAUCACGUUUAGUUUUUAUUCAAGGAUCAACGACGAAGAUGUGAGACCACAUCUGAUCUUGCCUUAAAAUCUUGCUUUUUUUCCUGGAUUUGAGACAGAAAUCUGAUUUUUUUAUUUGAAAGAUGAGUUUUAUCCCAAAACCUUUCGCUAAGAUCAGUGAUCUUUACCAAAGAUAUUAUUGUGAUAAACUGAAAACUGUAAUAUAUGAUAUAUAUUAUUUUUAUAUAAAUAAAAUUUUUUUAAUAAUAAUUAGUGAAUUAUUUCCCAAUGCAGAUUAGUAUAUAACAGGCCUGGGCAACUUCGAGCUCUGGAGCUACGACACUCCCCUACUUUCCGUGGAUAGAAAAGAAGUGUCGUGGUUCUGGAGCUCAAAGUUGUCCAAGCCUGGUCUAUAAAAGCAAUCUAAAUAUUAAUUAGACAAUAAAUAUUGAGAUAUUUUAUUACUAUUGCAUAUUUAUUAAAAACA